rnacentral:rRNA from 1 species
CCUACGGGUGGCAGCAGUGGGGGAUAUUGGUCAAUGGACGAGAGUCUGAACCAGCCAAGUCGCGUGAAGGAUGACGGCCCUAUGUGUGGUAAACUUCUUUUAUAGGGGAAUAAAACACGGCACGUGUGCCUUUUUGCAUGUACUUUAUGAUUAAGGCUCGGCUAACUCCGUGCCAGCAGCCGCGGUAAUCCGGAGGGUCCGAGCGUUAUCCGGAUUUACUGGGUUUAAAGGGAGCGUAGAGGGGUUGGUAAGUCAGUUGUGAAAGCUUGCGGCGCAACCGUAAAAUUGCAAUUGAUACUGGCAGGCUGGAGUACAGGUGAGGUAGGCGGAAUUCGUGGUGUAGCGGUGAAAUGCUUAGAUAUCACGAAGAACCCCGAUUGCGAAGGCAGCUUACUAAACUGUGACUGACAUUGAUGCUCGAAAGUGUGGGGAUCAAACAGGAUUAGAUACCCCUGUAGUC